rnacentral:rRNA from 1 species
GAUGAAUGCUGGCGGCGUGCCUAAUACAUGCAAGUCGAGCGGUAAGGCCUUCGGGUACGACGAGCGGCGGGACGGGCUGAGUAACGACGUGGGAACGAUGCCCCAAACGUGAGGGAUAACGCACCGAAAGGUGUGCUAAUACCGCAUGUGGUCUUCGGAUUAAAGGAUUUAUCCGCUUUGGAGUGGCCCGCGUACGAUUAGAUUGUUGGUGAGGUAACGGCUCACCAAGUCGACGAUCGUUAACUGGUCUGAGAGGAUGAUCAGUCAGACUGGAACUGAGACACGGUCCAGACUCCUACGGGAGGCAGCAGUUAAGGGAAUCUUCCACAAUGGGCGAAAGCCUGAUGGAGC